rnacentral:lncRNA from 1 species
CUGGACUUUUACGCAAGACCAUGUCGGCAGGAUUAUUCCAGGAUUUAGAGCUGAGAAUUAGGUGACAUUAGAUAUUUAAAAUGAGCCAUUCAGCUCCAGAUCAAACACCAGAGACACUAAUGUGACCCAUCUUAGACAUUUAUUUCCUGACACAAGUGGUCUAAGGUACAGCUUGUACUGGGUUAAUGAAGACUGUAGUCCCAGGGGACAGAGCUGGACAGAUGGUGACGCAGUGAAGAUGAGGGUCUUCUCCUGUCGAUCCAAUAGCCUGCAGACCCCCGUUCACCCGUUUUUUUCCGCUCCAUCUAGAUUUCAGGUGGCCGAUUCUCCAUAGAGUUGUUACCUUGGAAACAGCACCUUAUGUAUUUAUAGAGAGAGACUGAGUAGACACGGGGAGCAGGAGACAAGACGUGGACUGUGAUACAGUGCAGAGGGAUGAGGGAGUGGCUCCACGUUUAUUUUGCCUCUUGGUUCUUUAAUUGAACAGAGGUCAGCCUGUGAUCACAUCCCUCCUCCACUUGCACUGGCUGCCAGUUGUGCUUUACGUCUAAGUUACAAGACCUGAUCCGGCAAAUUUUUUUAUGUGAAAGAUCCUGAUUUGUAAUUCAAGCAGCAUCUCUCUUUGCAGUGACAUUGUUUCUUCUUUGACCUCUACCUCCUGUGGUGGAAAGUAACCAUGCACGCUCACUCACGUACAGCGUUGAGAAGUCACAGACGGUGCCCAGCAGUGUGCCCGUGGCCGAGGCUUGGUAUUUUAAAACCCUGUCCAUCCACCCACACACGGAAACAGAGUUCACCAGUGACUGCACCUUUUCAUAAAGACGAGUCAUCUCUAGCCUUUUUGCAUCGCCAUGGAAACCACUGAAUUUGUCCAAUUGAUUGGCAGUGGACUAACGCCGAGGCAAAGAACUCUUCAGUUUCAUAAAACACACUGAAUCUGCGGUCAGCUGGUCGAAGAGAGACGUCUGCUGCCUGUGACAAAAGAAGAUAGAUUGUUUAAUAUGAAUAAAAGCUUUGCCAAUAAAAGUAGUCACUGUUGUAUUAUAUUAGUUUGAACAAUGUUAUAUUAUUUCACCACAUGUGUAUAUAACAUGUAAUUCCUGUUUGCUGUAUUUUUCCUUCAUCCUUCUGUUUUAUUAGAUUUAUUAUGUGAACAUAUUGUUUUAACUUGUGAGUGUCCAGGUCCUCCAUUAAUCAUCAUUAAGGUACUUUAAAUCUCCUUACCUUCCUUUUCUCUGCACUUCUUUAGACAAAUAUUGUACUACCUUUCUCCACUACAUUUAUCUGACAGCUUGAGUCGCUGGUAAACCUUGUCUAUUGCAGAUUAAAGGUUCUAAUGCAAAAUAUCAUUGCCUGACAAAUUCUGAUGCAUUGAACAACAUAAACUACAUCACUCUGUUUAUGCCUGGGUGUACUUUCCUCAGGAUGGACAAGUUUCUGCCUCAGAGUGUCGGUAGGUUUGAAGUGAACCGG